CUGAGGUUUAUUGAAAAGGAAGAAGCUCAUAUAGACAAAUCUUGGCUUUAAGAAAGAUCAAUUUGACAACUGAAUAGAUGGACUAGAGAGGGAAAAGACUUGAGAGCAGAGGACUAUUGCAAUAUUCCAGGCAGGAGGUGAUAAGGGCUAGUACCAAAGUAGUGGCAAUUUCAAAAGAGAAAAGAGGGUGUAUGCAAGUAGAAGUAAUAGAACUUGGCAACUGAUUGGAUAUGGGGGAGGCAAGAGAGACUCAAGGAAUCCAGAAUGACAUCUAGAUUUAGAGCCUGUGAUUGGGAGGAUGGUUUUGCCCUGGAUGUAAUUUAGAUACAGGAACUGAAAAAAUUGUGACCUGCACAGGUUAAAUUCAUUCCUAAAUCUGUAUCCUUCUCUUUAGGGUGAAUAACAAGUUGGGUCUCCAUUUAAUUUGAGCCUGAAUUCAUGCUGACUUCAUUGCCUCCUGCUACUGAAGUCUCAAGGGCCCCAGGAUCUGCACUGGGGAGUAAAGUCUCUAUCCCUACAGGGGCUGUUUGCAUGAAGCAAAGCACUGCAAUCUUCUGUGACCUCCCUAGAGUGAAGGUUUGACUCCAAGCUUCUCCUCAGGAUAUGGACAGUGGAGUACAGAGGGAAUGAGCUAAACAGACACACCAUCAUCAGUGAUCCAAGGCUUACUAGGUACAGAAGCAAAUAUGCAACCAGGAGAAAGAAAAAAGAAGAAGAAAAAUAAAAUACUGAUGGCUGAGAGCUCUCAAGACUCCCCAACCAAGUCUACACCAGGACUGUUCCUGACGUCUGUGACUGUAACUACUCUCCUUUGUCAUUCAGUCCCUUCAAGUUGUGAGCUGACUGACUUGGAUAUUUCCCCUCCCCUCCAUCUGCCACACACCAGGUGAACACAUUGGAAACUACAAAUGAGGAAUGGGAGUAGACAGCCUAGCAAUGAUGUCUGAAGAACAAAGAAUGAUCUUCAGAAGUGGCCAUAGGAACCCAGUUGAAAAGUAACAAGGAGACAAAGACUCAAUGGGCAGCAAUGUUGCAUUUGGUCACAAUUCUGGUAGAACUCAUAUAGAAAUUGAAUUUGAACCUACUGUCCCCUACUGAAUUCUGACUUCAAUUUGUGAACUCUUUCUACCUACCACACCAGGCUCUCUCUUCUUUAGAGGCUUCAUAUGAAGAGAGUUAAGGGAAACAAGAUUUGAAUGGCAGCAAAAAAAAUGAACUUUUCUGUAGCAAUAUGGACCAAUUGAAAGUUUUUAUGUAGCAUGAUGAAAUUUAAAAGCCAUAUUUUUAGCAAGCUUGGCCUGGCAAUAAUGUAAGAAAUGCACCAAACAAGGGGGAAAUGCUCCUAACAUUAACAAUACUAGGUUGUAUUCAGUCACAAAAUAAAAAUACUGAAAGGAGAAACA
rnacentral:lncRNA from 1 species